UACAGAGGGGGCAAGCGUUGUUCGGAAUUACUGGGCGUAAAGGGCGCGUAGGCGGCCUGUUAAGUCGAACGUGAAAUCCCCGGGCUCAACCCGGGAACUGCGUCCGAUACUGGCAGGCUUGAAUCCGGGAGAGGGAUGCGGAAUUCCAGGUGUAGCGGUGAAAUGCGUAGAUAUCUGGAGGAACACCGGUGGCGAAGGCGGGUCUCUGGGCAUUUCCUGACGCUGAGGCGCGAAAGCGUGGGGAGCAAACAGG
rnacentral:rRNA from 1 species